AGGACGAACGCUGGCGGCGUGCUUAACACAUGCAAGUCGAGCGGAAAGGCCCUUUCGGGGGUACUCGAGCGGCGAACGGGUGAGUAACACGUGAGUAACCUGCCCUGGACUUUGGGAUAACCCUCGGAAACGGGGGCUAAUACCGGAUAUGACACGUUCUCGCAUGGGGGUGUGUGGAAAGUUUUUCGGUCUGGGAUGGGCUCGCGGCCUAUCAGCUUGUUGGUGGGGUGAUGGCCUACCAAGGCGACGACGGGUA
rnacentral:rRNA from 1 species